rnacentral:rRNA from 1 species
AUACGUAGGAUCCGAGCGUUGUCCGGAUUUACUGGGCGUAAAGGGUGCGUAGGCGGCGCGGUAAGUCUCAUGUGAAAUCUCCCGGCUUAACUGGGAGGGGUCAUGGGAAACUGACAAGCUUGAGGGCAGCAGAGGGAAGCGGAAUUCCCGGAGUAGUGGUGAAAUGCGUAGAUACCGGGAGGAACACCAGUGGCGAAGGCGGCUUCCUGGGCUGUUCCUGACGCUGAGGCGCGAAAGCGUGGGGAGCAAACCGGAUUAGAAACCCCGGUAGUCC